GUGCAAGCAGUUGGUUAGCAUGUCUCUGCCCCUUCCUGAACAGCUACUGGGAAUGCUUUGCAGGCCUGCCAGCUUCAGGAAAAUUCAGCAGCUGGAAGGGAGAAAUAUGGGACAUAAACAGCCCAUAUUUAAACCCUUGAUAAUUUCCUGAAAAGCUGUGGAGAAGAGAAAUAUAAAUUCCCAGCUGGAGCUGUCGUGUCUUUCUCCGUUCCCUACUACCUCAAAACAACAUGUGCCCAGUUUCCACAAUCUAUCUGUAGUCCAUCCUCUGCAACCCAUUUGAGAACCUACUCACAUAGUAAAAUUCUUUCUGGAACCAGCAGGAAUGGCUGUGGAUAGGUGUAAACAUCCUUCUGAGCCCUUUUAGACUUAAUCUUCUUUCCAAUGACCUGGUUUUGUGGCAUGGUCCCUAAAAUGGAUUGAGUCCUGACCUACAAAGUAUUACUUUUAUACAAAUAACCUAAAGUGGGCCUGCAAAGUGGACAGAGCAGAACAGGCUGUUGUGGCUGAGGAAAA